rnacentral:rRNA from 1 species
UGUUGCAGACCUUAAAGUCCCAGGACAUGUAUGAAAAACGCCAAACCAGGGUUGGGCCUGGUUAGUACUUGGAUGAGAGAUUGCUGGGAAUAUCAGAUGCAACAA